GUCCAUGCCAUUGGUACAACAGUCAUUCAUGUACAUGUAGUUUUACAACUAUGUAGAUAGACUUCUACGUGUAGCAGCAGCUCCACCUCCCUAUUACAGCAAAAAGGCUAGCCCUGAGACGAUGGCUGCAGUAGUGUUGGCAGAGAUCCCCGAACUACUGACUGAGACAUGAGGAAGAGGACAUUGAGCCGAGGGAGCGGCUACAGUCUACUAGUACAACCACCCCAACUAAAAUGUAUUUUUUUGUAAAUAUCAUUAUAAUUAUAGCAACUAUUUACACAAUAAAAUUAUUAUAUAGCGACUGUUUCUAGUGUCUAGAGUCAUCCUACAAGUCACUUUCGGUAUGCCACUUUAAGCACCCUAAACAGUGUGUGUGUGUGUGUGUGAUGUCUUGAUAACCAUUAGGGGGGUUUUCCCUUUAGCCCGUACUAGGAAUUGUUUACGUCUUCUCCGUUAAGAAAAACUACCGUGUUGUUACAGUUUUGUAUAAUUAUGACUGAGAGAAAUGACGUACUAUCAGUAAACACGUCGCCCACCCACUGCUAUAAAAGCAGAUAGCCUUGUCGGCAGCACUUACUGCAAUAACUGAAAAUGAAACCUCAGCUGGUGCUCCUUUGCUCUGUAUUGAGCUUUGUCUUCUUCUCAUUCACAUUCGCUCAAACUGGCCCACGCGGACCCCCCGGGAUAAAGGGGCAGAGAGGAAGGACCGGAUUGCGAGGACGUCCUGGGGGGAAAGGAGCGAGGGGUUUCCCAGGAUACACAGGACACACUGGUAGCCCUGGUACCAAGGGUGUUACUGGUGUAUCUGGUUUGCCUGGAAGUUCUGGACCACCCGGGAUCAUUGGACCCGAAGGAAUAAAGGGAGAACAUGGAGACACCGGCUCCCCUGGCAUGGAUGGGAUGGUGGGACCCCCGGGGCCAAAGGGAGAACCUGGUGGAUUAUUUGAGGAAGGUGAGCGGGCAUAUUUAAAUACAUGUACAGAACAUGACUUUAUUUAUAAAUUAUGAAUGGACCUCACUGCAGGAGAUCCAGGCUCGUCUGGUACAACAUAUGUGCACUGGGGCAGGACGUAUUGUGGGGGUACCAGCAGCUCUAAUCUCUAUUCUGGAGUGGCCACUACUAACUCAGCUGGAAACCCACUCUGUAUUCCUCAACCUUGUGGAGAUGACUUUGGAGAUGACGUGUGUGGAUCUUCUACCUUAAAGUCUCCGUUUGAUUUGACUGGUUGGGAAGUAGAAAAAGUGACAGAAAUAGCGUAUAUCAAGAAUGGACAGCCAUGGAAACUCGACUGCUCUCUAUGCUUCAUUAAAGACGCAUCUACGUCUAUUACCAUCCCAGAUGCAAACAAAUGCCCUAAAGACUGGUGCCCACAAUACACAGGAGUGCUGUCACAAGUUUGGGAAUCGACUGGCCAAUUCAUUUGUGUGGAUCCAAGCAAUGUUGCCCAACCCCCUGAGAGACCCCAACAUCACAAACUGGCAGCCGUAGAGAGGAAUUGUUUCCUCGGCUCUGAGUGUAAGGACCUGAAAGAAGAGGAGCUCAGAGUGCCUUGUAUAGUGUGCAGUUUUAGCACUACCAAACCUUGCCCAGAAUAGACCUACUACGAGACAUUUUAAAUAUCAUCGUUUACUAUAAUUAUAGCCAACUAUUCAAAUAACUUGAAACUACGUCAUCAUUAAUGUUUUGAAAGUCAAUAUCAAAUCUUAGACACGAAAAAUAUUGAUGGUGAUCA